CUUCCACCAUGGCUGAAACAAAGGCGAGAUGUCACUGCUCUCUGUACCACUUUGUACAUCUAACAAACAACACCAACCCUACUUAAAUUUUCAUGGAUUCCCGACUGAAAUUAGUCUAAGGAAGAAGUGGAUUCAAGCGGUUCGCCGGGAUGAAGGGCCAAACUUUAAAAUAAAACAAGUUAGCACGUUUGUUUGUAGCCGGCACUAGUGAAUCAGACUACAAACGCUACAACUAGCAACCAACCGGGGUCACACCAAGCGACUGAAAAUCGGGUCUUUACACUCCCGUUUCCAGUGGAACAACUGGGGACUGCCAAGAAGGGGGUCUGUUUAUAAAAGAGCAUCAACUCGCUUAGGCCAUGACGUUCACCCAUCCCUUCCUCUGGAGCAACCGCUGCCCUGUGAAUAAGAGCCGAUGGAGGAGAUCUCAGCUUCGGUGGUGAUGACAGAACAUGAUUUCGGUUCUGCUCCUAAACCAGGUGCACUGGAUACUGCUGUUGUAAACAUACAGCAAUUGGAAGAAACAGUCAAGGCGCUGAUGAGAGCUGUCACAGCUGAAAGUGGUUCAAGUGCAUUUUCACAGAUUCUGUGUCUCAGACGCGGACAUCCUUUUUUACACCAGAUUCACGUCAAGAGAUGUUUUUUGUGACUUCUGGGAGGUUAUUCAACCAUCUGCCUCCAAGUUGGUUUAUUGGUCGAAAGCUCAGAAAAAGAAACAAACAUUUGAACCCAUUUCUCCCAGUCCAACGUGUAGACUGCAACUGGUUGAGUUUUUUCUCUUCUGCUGCCAGGUUGCUGCAGGCCUGCAAGAGAAGGUGCUGGCUGACAUGUUUCAGAGCUGACUGAACGAAGUGGACUGCUGGAUUUACUGGAGCCAGGAGAUGGCUGCAUGGCAGACAAGGGUUUCACCAUCGAGAAGCCACUAGCUGAUCGUGGGGCAACGCUGAUUAUACCACCCUUCAAGAUGACAGUUCACUGAAGAGGAUGCUCUGAAAACACAAGCAAUCACUCGACUUCGAAUCCUCGUAGAAAGAGCAAUAGGCAGAGUCAAGGAAUACCGCAUCUGGGAACGCACUGUCCUUUCACCUUGUCUGCGACAGUCAAUCAGCUGUGGACCGUCUGCUGUGUGAUGACCAACCUCCAGGGACCACUUGAUUUAAAAGGCUACAUUCCUGUUGAAUAGUGUUUCUACUCAAACAUGUACAUAUAAAUAUUAAAUAUAAUAUAUAAAUAUUAAAACGAGAGGCACUGAACAUU